GACGAACGUUGGCGGCGUGCUUAACACAUGCAAGUCGAACGGAAAGGCCCUGCUUUUGUGGGGUGCUCGAGUGGCGAACGGGUGAGUAACACGUGAGUAACCUUCCCUUGACUUUGGGAUAACUUCAGGAAACUGGGGCUAAUACCGGAUAGGAGCUCCUGCUGCAUGGUGGGGGUUGGAAAGUUUCGGCGGUUGGGGAUGGACUCGCGGCUUAUCAGCUUGUUGGUGGGGUAGUGGCUUACCAAGGCUUUGACGGGUAGCCGGCCUGAGAGGGUGACCGGCCACAUUGGGACUGAGAUACGGCCCAGACUCCUACGGGAGGCAGCAGUGGGGAAUAUUGCACAAUGGGCGGAAGCCUGAUGCAGCAACGCCGCGUGCGGGAUGACGGCCUUCGGGUUGUAAACCGCUUUCGCCUGUGACGAAGCGUGAGUGACGGUAAUGGGUAAAGAAGCACCGGCUAACUACGUG
rnacentral:rRNA from 1 species